ACAUACAAGUAAUUAGACCUUUGAUGACACCGCACCGGAUCCAAACCGCUCCCUUGUGCCAGGCUUCCUAGCGACUCUAUAUAACGAGCUUCCAGGGAUACCGGCUAUUCUGUUCAUCUACAGGAAGGUGCCUGGAAAAUGGUCAUCACCGUGAGUCCCCGGGGUUUGCUUCUGCUGGUGCUGGUGGCUCUGGCUAUGAGCAGCUGUCCGGGUGCCGGUGCUGGAAAUUGGGGCUGCGCGAACUACCGGGGCUACUGCCGCGCUGUGUGUUACCCUCAGGAAAAUUCGGUGGGACCCAAGGACUGUGCAGAAGGUCUUGUUUGCUGCAUCUCAGGUGCUUUUGGGUAAAAAUGCUUGUACCUGGGGAUGUGCUGAUACCCGAGAGGAAGCACCACGAAGAUGUUUUACCUGCAUCGGGAAAGACAGGAGAUAUCAGUCAACCGGCAACAAUGAUCAGCGAGUCCUCGAACCUGCAUAACACCUUCGUCACGUUUGUUACAAACAAUGAUUUGGGAUAAUGUUUUUGACCUCAAUCUUCUCCCAUUCUAGUCAAUGGGAAAAUCUGCAUGGAUUCGAAUGGGAGAAGGAUGAGGCUCCUUCUUUGCUGUCUGUAAUUAAAUAUAGCCACUGCAGCAGCAUUAGUCCCGGGACUGGCUUUAUGAUUAGGGGAACAUCCUGUGCAAAGAGCACCCCCUGCUCCUGAUCUCUCACUUGUACAGAAGCAAUCCCCCCACUUUUCUCCCUGCCAGAUCUGGUGUAGCACCGGUGUGAUGGGCCCACAAAUUUGGGUGCUCCACAGGUUUCACAUAUCCCCAAAGACAAUUGAUGUUCAGAUCCGUCCUGUGUGAGGGGGAGCUGAGGGGAUGACAACAGGAGAUAGUAUACGAACACAGGUAGCUAAAUUAGA